ensembl:lncRNA
AUUCUGUGUCCGUUAAAUCGACGUUUUACCACCGCGUUAUCCGUUUGUCAUCUAUGAACACGAUUUCCCGGUUGUUAACAGCUCUCGCUGAAAAAAAAAAAAAAACGGAUACGAUGGUGAAAUGGCUCCCUCCGGUUCAAAUAUUGAGCAGCAAGCCUUUGACGGUAUUAAUACAUGUUCAAAUAUUGAGCAUCAAGCCUUUCACGGUAUUAAUACAUCGCUCGCGAUUGAUCCAGACAGCGCCGCCGCUGAUUUCAUACAAUUUAUCACCCAACCCGGCUUCCAGACAGUUAUCGAUCUCACGCAAGAUGGCGACGAAGAUCCCACCGUCAACGUAACAGACAAACCUCACAUCCUACCUGAUUCCACUCCGGCGCACGUCGAGAAUCCAAUAGGAUCCUGCGGCGAACCACUUCCUGGACCCAGCGACGAACCAGCAAGAAAGAAGCCUAGAAAAACAAAUCGUCCCACCUCGCCGGUAAUCCUGGACCAGACGGCGAACCACCAAGAAAGACUUAUCGUUUUACUCCGGCGAUCAGUCCUGAGAGCUCUCCAGAGAGGAAAACUCUUUGUCUGACACCACCGAACAGCCCGGCGACCAGUCCUGAGACCGAGCUAUGGUAAGACUAUCCACAUUAUUUGCAUUUAAACUCCGACGGAGUCAAACUAUUAAGAUUUUUAUUUUUACACCCAGCAGACUCGAGUAGAAGCCAUAAGGAUGACGUGACAACCUGGGGUAUGGCUCAAAUCGAUGCUUGGGACCAGAGUUCUUGGACGAGCACGCGUGACGAGGUCUCAACCACCAACCUGGGUCAAACACCAUAUCCUUCUCACUCACCGUCGUCGGAAGAAGUAGAAGUGGAAGAAGUUCCGGCGCGUCAGCCGGUUGAUGAACCAUUCGAUGAUCUGCCUCCGCCUCGUAGGCCCAUUAAUUUGAUAGAAUCAUUUGGUCAAGAGUUUCGCGACGCGCAGGUUGACAAACAACAAAUACGUCGAACUCCGUGACGUACAAGAUGAUAUUAACGACAAAUUGAUUGCGUUGCACAGCGAGUCUCGUGACAGACAAAUCGAAACCCAUAGCAGAUUAGACACGUUGCACGGCGAGCUCCAUGCCUAUCACCUCGAGACACGCAGUCGAUUCGAUGCGCAGGAUCGCUUUAUUCACGAUCUGGCCGAUGAAAUAUUCCGUCGCGUCAAUGCUAUGAGAUCAACGAUUGAUCAGCAGUUUGAUAGAAAUGAUCGUAUGGUGAGUCAAUACCAACGGGAAUUGGUGCUCAUUUUGCAUCACCUUAUUCUCACCAUCAUAGAUGAGACCACAGAGUCAAAUUGAAUAUAGAUGUAUUCUGAGUAAUUCUUAUAAUCGCACGUCUGCUAUGAUUUUUUUAAUAUUUCAUUUAUGGUUUUUUAUACUUUGUUUACAUAUAAUCCGAUAUUUCAUUUAUACUCUGAUUUUGUACCUCGUCAUAUAUGCUUUUUAUAUUCUGAUUUUGUGAUAGUUCAUUUAUGAUUUUUUUAUACUAUAUGAAAUUUGUAAUAGUUCAUGUAUGCUUGUUUUAACUCUGAUUUUGUAACAAGUC